GUUUUAAUAACCCACGGCCAGUGCACCACACCGCCACCACUGUCCGCCCCUGUCCCCACCGCCAUUUCUGCCGGCGGCCGCCGCCGCCGCCGCAAACAAGCAGAUUCUGCUGUACCGAUCCGUCCGGCACACUCCCGCACUUCGCCAUUGCAAUGUAAAGCCUGUCAGUCCAAGCAAUAAUGCCAUUGUGGAACAUAACUUUAACCAUUGAUAAAAAAUAUUAAAGAUCUAAUCUUGAUGAUAAAAUUUCCAUUUGAACUGUAUCACUAUUGGUUGCAUCCAUGCAACUAAGCAAGCAAGCUGGGUGCAUUGGGCAAUGGAAACUUUAUCAGACAAUCUGGUGAUUCCGGAAAACAUACCAGCUGUGGAACUUACUGUCCUGAAUUAACCUUUUUAUCAGUCUAAGCACCACGUUAUUCUUAUUGUCGGAUGGAAAGCUGGAGCUAGUCGAUAAUAAUGAUUGGCUCACAACAAUUUUGUUGUUGGUAGGGAAACCAUCUAGUAAUCGAUCAGGUAUGGACCCCCUGGCUCCUAUCCUUUAUCGAAAUGACAGGAUGAACAUAUGCUGCAAACUCUAAAGUUUUCGCUAUGUGGAUUUAGAGAAAUUUUACACUGUAUGGCCAACCUUCUUCGUAGUGGUUAUAUUGAUUGAACCAUAUUGGUGACAUUUUUAUUAAGUAAGGCCUCUUAUUUGGCUACAUCCUGUUCACACCAAAUUGGCAAGUGGACCAUAUUCCUUUCCUAGGAUGGUGUUAGAUGUUUGCAAGGUCCGAUCAUGUGUGGUCUUCAGCCCUCCUUUUCAGAUAUCUACUUGAACCCAACUUCUUAACAUGAACUUAAACGUAGCACUAGUUAUAUUCUUGCAGAUCUUCUAGAUACAUAUACUUAAACCGUAAUUGAUUCAUAUCAAUUUCAUAUAGCUCCAAUAGGAGGUUCCUGGCCAUCAUCUACAGAUUAGUGAAUCAUCAUUUUAUCGAUUCUGCUUGAUUCACAGUAUUAUUUUUUGCGAAUGAUUCAUAGUAUUAUUUUAUCUUAUUCUUCUAUACCCUAGAGAGCUCAUGCCCUUAAUAUAAGUGCCUCUCUCUAAUAAGCAUCUGCUAAACUUUUCAUUGACUGCCUUCCAACUUGCUGAUUAGAACUUGAUAAAUGGAUAUUUCCAGCACAACCUAGUCAUCACACAUAACAUGCCUUCAAGUAGUGUGAUCUGCUGAACAAUAUACCCGCUUGGUUUCUAAAGUAAUAUGGUUAUCAAGUUGACACUGAUAUUCUGUUUUAUAUUCCUGCCAAUGUUGAUAGACAUGCUUGGGGGCCUUGGGUGUUGUAGUUGAAGGCCUAUUGUGAUUUGGCAAUCUGGACGUGUAUGUUGAAUAAUAUGUUUAUUGGUUCAUGCCAGGAUUACUAGUGUGAGAAUCUCACGAGGGUAUGAGACCAAGAUAUAAAUUUUGAAUUCGUUUUCAUUUAUAAACAAGGAAGGAAAUAUUCAGAUCUUACAGAGGCAAUAGCCUGAACUUAACAUAGAUCUUGAAACAUUGUGUACAGAAAAUUGCUCUGCUC